UUUCCGUAGGUGAACCUGCGGAAGGAUCAUUACCUAGAGUUGUAGGCUUUGCCUGCUAUCUCUUACCCAUGUCUUUUGAGUACCUUACGUUUCCUUGGUGGGUUCGCCCACCACUAGGACAAACAUAAACCUUUUGUAAUUGCAAUCAGCGUCAGUAACAAAUUAAUAAUUACAACUUUCAACAACGGAUCUCUUGGUUCUGGCAUCGAUGAAGAACGCAGC
rnacentral:misc_RNA from 1 species